rnacentral:rRNA from 1 species
CAGCCGCCGCGGGAAUACGAAGGGGGCUAGCGUUGCUCGGAAUCACUGGGCGUAAAGGGUGCGUAGGCGGGUCUUUAAGUCAGGGGUGAAAUCCUGGAGCUCAACUCCAGAACUGCCUUUGAUACUGAAGAUCUUGAGUUCGGGAGAGGUGAGUGGAACUGCGAGUGUAGAGGUGAAAUUCGUAGAUAUUCGCAAGAACACCAGUGGCGAAGGCGGCUCACUGGCCCGAUACUGACGCUGAGGCACGAUAGCGUGGGGAGCAAACAGGAUUAGAUACCCGGGUAGUCCCUGUCUCUUAUAC